rnacentral:lncRNA from 1 species
AACUCACGAACAUGAACAUAUUUUGGUCGAGCAACACUUCCCAGCAAAUUGCACCAUCUGUAAACCAUGACAUCCCCCAUAGCUCCUCUCUGUCACGUGGAGCACCACAGUCAUGUCAAACCUAUUUUGGUCGGCCACAAAGUAAAUCAAUGAUCAUUUUUCUUUGUAUGUGAUCCAAUAGAUCACAUUAAUCCAAUCUCGUCUAU